CCGGCGGCCAUGGGCGGACAAGGCCUCCAGCGUGUUCCGUGGCCUGGCGGUGGCUGGUGGAGGCGAGAGAAGCGAGAGCGAGGAUGACGGCUGGGAGAUUGGAAAUUAAAAGGACCAUUACCCACUGAAGACAAGAAUGAAACGUUUAAGAAAGCGUUGACCACAGGCGAUAUUCCCUUGGUCCAGGAGCUCCUCAGUUCUGCUCCUCCGCUCAAGAACCUGUCGUUUUCCCGUGCGGGUCGCGGGAAACAGAAACAGCCCACCACAUUUGGCGCACCGAACAGGGAUUGAGUAAGGAGGCAAGAGAAGAAAGCGAGGGUGUCGCUCCUAGAAGUGUGCACACGACAGAUUGAAGGUAAGGAGUGUAUUGUGUGAAUUGAAUCAACCGGGUGUAAAAUAUGGGUAAUUCAGAGUCUCGGGAAAGUGAUCUCUACUCUCAAAUACUUAUAAGUAUGCUUUAAACUAUGCUCUGUUAAUUGUAGUCAUAUUCUUGAUUUCUUUCUUAAGCUUUGUUGAUGAAACCUGGGAAAAGGUUAGAAAGCAGUUGUGUGACCAAUACUCAGCAAAAAGUCCAGAGAAAAUUCCUAUUUUAAUUGGCGAUGGCCUUGAUUCAGCACAGGAGAGUUUAAAAAUGUCUAAGUGGGGUGCUGCCACGGCCUUACAGCCUGGAGUGGAAGGGUGCGAGUCUCUAAGAAUACCAUCUACACCUCCUCUGCCUCCAAUGAUUCUUUAUCUUAAAAAAUCUUUU